rnacentral:RNase_P_RNA from 1 species
UUCGAGUAGGCGCGGCUAGCUAUUGCUAGUUGAGGAAAGUCCACGCACGCACAAGCUGCGAUGCUUGUAGUGAUCGUAUUCAGCCUAAUAAGCUGGAGAGAAGUCUUUUGACUUUUACGGCGGAAAAAGUGCUAAAUCUUAUGACAUGCAUUACUAUCCUGAAAAGUGCCACAGUGACGAAGCAAGGUCAGAAAUGAUCUUGGUGGAACGAGGUAAACCCUGCGAGCGUGAAACCCAAAUUUGGUGGGGGAGCUUCGGUUUAAGAAAAUGAACUAAAAACCGAGUUGUUGUUUUUACAAUAAAGAUAGAUGACUACUGAAGGUAAUUUUGCCAAAAUUACUGGAACAAAACGUGGCUUAUAG